AUUGAACGCUGGCGGCAGGCCUAACACAUGCAAGUCGAGCGGAGCGGCGGACGGGUGAGUAAUGCCUAGAUAUGGGCCUGCUCGUGGGGGAUAACGUCCGGCAACGGGCGCUAAUACCGCAUACUAUCAGAUGAGCCUAUGCGGGUUUAGCUAGUUGGUGGGGUAAAGGCCUACCAAGGCGACGAUCCCUAACUGGUCUGAGAGGAUGAUCAGUCACACUGGAACUGAGACACGGCCCAGACUCCUACGGGAGGCAGCAGUGGGGAAUAUUGGACAAUGGGCGAAAGCCUGAUCCAGCCAUGCCGCGUGUGUGAAGAAGGUCUUCGGAUUGUAAAGCACUUUCAGUUGGGAGGCGUUACCAACAGAAUAAGCACCGGCUAACUUCGUGCCAGCAGCCGCGGUAAUUC
rnacentral:rRNA from 1 species